GGCCGUAAGUGCGAUGGGGCUAACCCGAGUGCCGUCCGCUGAGGAUGGCUUUUCUCCGCUGUAAGGAGGCGGAGGAAUAAGGAGAGGGCAAGACUGGUGUCAGCCGCCGCGGUAAUACCAGCUCUCCGAGUGGUAGGGAUGAUUAUUGGGCUUAAAGCGCUCGUAGCCGGCCUGGCAAGUCUCUCGUUAAAUCCAGCGACCCAAUCGCUGGGCUGCGGGAGAUACUGUCAGGCUUGGGAGCGGGAGAGGCCGACGGUAUUCUCGGGGUAGGGGUGAAAUCCUAUAAUCCCGGGAAGACCACCAGUGGCGAAGGCUGUCGGCUAGAACGCGUCCGACGGUGAGGGACGAAAGCUGGGGGAGCGAACCGGAUUAGAUACCCGGGUAGUCCCAGCUGUAAACGAUGCGGGCUAGGUGUCGGUGUGGCUACGAGCCACUCCGGUGCCGCAGGGAAGCUCAUAAGCCCGCCGCCUGGGAAGUACGGGCCGUAAGUGGCCGUAAGUGGCCGUAAGUGGCCGUAAGUA
rnacentral:rRNA from 1 species